ensembl:snoRNA
CUGCAGCCAUUGAUAGACCUAGGACAAUUUAGCAUUGUGCUUCUGCUUUGUUCUAGGAUGAGAAAGAAAAAGGAAAAUCCUUGAGCUCUGUCUGCUUUGUGGCAGGUCCAGAUUAAAUAAGGAAGACAUAC